rnacentral:rRNA from 1 species
GUGGGGAAUAUUGGGCAAUGGGCGAAAGCCUGACCCAGCGACGCCGCGUGGGUGAUGAAGGCCUUCGGGUCGUAAAGCCCUGUCAGGAGGAAAGAACGAUCUUGUGGUGAAUACCCACGAGAUGUGACGGUACCUCCGAAGGAAGCACCGGCCAAUUCCGUGCCAGCAGCCGCGGUAAGACGGAAGGUGCAAGCGUUGCUCGGAAUCACUGGGCGUAAAGGGUGCGUAGGCGGCUUCUUAAGUCUGGUGUGAAAGCCCAGGGCUCAGCUCUGGAAGUGCACUAGAUACUGGGAAGCUUGAGUACCGGAGGGGAGAGUGGAAUUCCUGGUGUAGCGGUGAAAUGCGUAGAUAUCAGGAGGAAUACCGGUGGCGAAAGCGACUCUCUGGACGGUUACUGACGCUGAGGCACGAAAGCGUGGGGAGCAAACAGGAUUAGAAACCCCUGUAGUCC